AUACACACUCACACACACCACACACACACAUACACCAUACACACACACAACCACGCACACACUCACACACACAUACACAAACAUACACCAUACACACACACACACUCAGAAUGCUGAAAAGCUCAGCCGUAAAAGAAAUAAUUUGUCUUUGUUCUUCAAAGCCAGGCCAUGGGGAAAGGCAUUCAGGGCUGGGAGUCGUCAGGAGAUGAAGGCUCUGUUUGUCGUGGGGCUGUGCUGAUCAUCCACAGGGUUUAGGGUGGAACUGGGCCGUAGGAAGCGUGGGAGGGCCAGAGAGGAGCCAACCACAGAAACAGGCAAUAUUCCCACAGGCUGAGGCCAUCUGCUUGCUCCUGAUUUGGCCCAGCUCGGGGUCUCAGCUCUGUUCUCUCUGUGUAGAAAGGGCAGGGCUCAGGGGUGUGGGUCGGGGUCCGUCUGCCAGCCGGGGCCGGCUGGGCUGUCCACUGGUGGCUUGGAAGACAGCUCUGGAAGCUAAAGGACACCUGUCCACAGAGGAUGGCAGAGUCACCUGGCAAGCCCAAAGUAAGGUUUGCCAGUGGUCCCACCUGAGGGACAAGGUGGCCCUGUGUGUGAGGGUUUCAGCAAUAGAAAAGCAAGGGCUACCAAGCUGGAUUUGGUUUGAGUGUUCUAUUUCUUUUCUUAUUUUAUUUCCCAUUACGUUGUGAGUCGCCAUGUGGCUGCUGGGAAUCAAACCCAGGACCUCUGGAAGAGCAGCCAGUGCUCUCUACUGCUGAGCCGUCUGUCCAGCCUGGUAGGUG
rnacentral:lncRNA from 1 species